AGCCAGAGCUUGGGAUCGCUUUCUGCUAUUCAACGUCCUCCACCUCUGCCCCCCUCUCGCCCCAGCCGGUGACAGGCUGUUGCCCUGUGAUCUGCAGGUCCUGGGACGUGCACAGACAGCUAAGAUGCCAGGACAUUCCAGAAGGUGGGAAAGGGCGCCUGUAAUUUCAGCUACUCCGGGGGCUGAGGCAGGAGAAUCGCUUGAACUCGGGAAGCAGAAGUUGCAGUGAGCCAAGGUCGCACCACUGCACUCCAGCCCAGGCGACAUUGUGAGACUCCAUCUCAAAAAAAAAAAAAAGAAAAAAAGUGUACUAACAAGACCCAGCACACAGAGGAGACUUUUACCAUUGUAUGAACACCCAUCAAACAGUACACAUCAUCAUUGUGAGUUCUGAAUCUCACACAUAGAGGAAGUCAAAGGUGGAAAACUUGACUCUCAUAUUUGGAUCCAGUCCACAGGUUCUGCUAGCAAGGAAGACUGAGACAUAUUGUGGGGCUCUACGCCAAUGUGACAUUACUGUUCUGCCUUGGCCUGUACCUGAAAAGGCAUUGUGACAUAUUGCUGGGCCCAGCAACAAGGUGGCAUGAGUCUUCCGUAUGGACCCUGACAACAGAGCAUUGUGACAUAUCUUUAAGAGCAUCAACUAUUUGAUGUGACUCUCCUUUUCUACCAAGGCUUUCCUCAUAUGAGAGAUUGUGACACAUCUUCUGGCACAGAAAUCAAGUGAUGUGUUUCUCCUGCCUGAGCUUUGCUCAUAGAAAGCAUUGUGACAUAUCUCUGGUCUCAGCACCCAGGUAAUGUGACUCUACUCUCUGUGCCCUGAUUUCAGGAGAAAAUUUAUAUGCCUAAGCACCCAGUUUUUAACUCUUCUGCCUUGUGCCUGUUCUCAGAGAAGAUUGUGACAUAUACCUGGCCUAUUACACAGAUGAUAUAAGUCUCCUGCUCUCUCCCUAUCCACAGGGGAGAUUGUGACAUAUAUCUUUGUUCAGAUCAUUGGUGCAAUGUUGACUCUCAUAUCUGAAAUCAGCCAAUAGGAGACAUACUAUCUCUCAUAUGUGGGCUUAGGAAAAUGGGUAAGAUUCUGGCUCUCCCCUUUGUAGGAAGGUUAAAGAAAAUUACAGUCUCUCCCAUAUUGUAUAAAGCCCUCCAGUGCUCCAGAAAGUGUCAUAACAGGGUCCAGAAAACGAGAUUGUUUUAUAUUUGCACAGUUUGCCAAUUGUUAAGAUUGUCACCCUCAUCCAUGGACAGAGCCUACUGGUGAGGUCUUAAAUUUUACAUGUGGAUGCAGUGCAGAGUUAAAAUUGUGACUGUCAUAUGUGAACAUCAGGCAACAUGAGGUGGUGACUCAUUAGCCUAGCUUAUAGGCAGGUGUCAACUCUCAUAUCUGGACCCAGCCAUUACAGAGAUGUUGACUCUCUCAUCUGAGCAUAGAGCCACAGGUAUGAUCAUGGGCCCAUACCAGCACAAAUGUUUCCUAGUCACAAAAGAUUGUGACUCUCAUGCAUACCUUAUAAAUCCUCGGUUGGUACAGAGAGUAUUCUAGCUAGACUCAGUGUACAGCUGUUUUGACAUUCCUGUAUACCCAGUCGACAGUAAAGAUUAUCAUCUUUUCACAAGAACGGUCCACUGGAAAUUCUGAAUCUCAUAUGCAGAGACAGUUGCAAGUUGUAAAAUUUACUCAUAAGUGAAUCCAGUCCAAAGGUAAGUUGGUGACUUUCAGACCAAGAUUGAACACACCUGUUUGUCUGAUUCCACUAAGGUGACACAGCCAGUAAGAGGGAUUGAGUCUCUCAUUCAGUGAUUCAGCUCAUUCUAAAAAUUGUGACUAUGUACUUAGACCCAACAUACAGGAGGUGUUGACUCUCAUACCAAGAAUUAGGGUACGUACAGGAUUGUUAAUCUCAUCUCUGGUCUUUCCUUCAGGUGUGAUUUUGACGCACACUUCUGCCCAGCACCUGAGUAAUGUGAUUCUUCAGAAUUGGCCCGGCCCACAAAUAGGAUUGUGCCACACUGCUGGACCCAGUGCCUAAGUGAUGUAACUCUAUUCUUCUGCCUUGGUGCUACUCGAAAAAGACAUUGUAACAUAUCUCAGAGCCUUACACCCAGGUAAUGUGAGUCUCCUCUUCUGCCUUGCUGCUGCACACAGAAGCGGAAUAUGUACAGGAUUGUUAAUCUCAUCUUGGAUCUUCCUGCACUUGUGAUUGUGACACAUGCCUCUGUGUAGAACCUGAGUGAGUUUACUCUCCUGCCUGGAUUUAACCCAUAGAUGGAAUCGUGACAUAUCACUGUACCAGAAACUAGGUGAUGUGACUCUAUUUUCUUGCCUCUGUGUUUUUAUAUGGGGCAUCGUGACAUAUCACUGGGCCUUGCACCCAAGUGAUGGGAGUUUUCUCUCCUGCUUUGGUGCCGUCCACAAUGAAAAUUGUGAAAUAUUGCUGCCCUCCCCACUAGGUUAUGUUACUCUCCUGCCUCUGCUUUGCCCACAUGGGUCACUGUGACAUAUUGCUGGGUCUAAAACCCAGGUAAUGUCACUCUCUUGUUUGGGUUCUGCCUGCAGGAGUCAUUGUCACAUAUCUCUAUGCUCAUCACCCAGGUAAUAUGAUUCCCUUUUACUGCUUAGUUCCUUCUCACAAAACAACUUGUGACAUAUUGCUAGGCCCAAUACACCUAGCUGGUGUAACUCUUCUUUUCUUUUCUUUCCUUUUUUUUUUUUUUUUUUUGAGAUGGAGUCUCACUCUGUUGCCCAGGCUGGAGUGCAGCGGCAUGAUUUCAGCUCACUACAGCCUCUGCCUCCUAGGUUGAAGCGAUUGUCCUGACUUGGCCUCCCAAGUAGCUGGGAUUAAAGGCAUGUGCCACCACGCCCGGCUAAUUUUUGUAUUUAUAGUAGAGACAGGGUUUCGCCAUGUUGGCUAGGCUGGUUUCGAACUUCUAACCUCAGGUGAUCCUCCUGCCUCGGCCUCCCAAAGUACUGGAAUUACAGGCAUGAGCCACUGCACCUGGCCUGAUUCUUCUCUUCUUUCUAGGUUUCAACUGCAGCAGAGAUUGUAACAAACCACUGGGCCCAGCCGCAUAAUGAUGUUACUCUUUUGCCUUGGGCCUGCCCUCAGAAGGCACUGUCACAUAUUCAUGGGCCCAACGCCAAGGUGAUAUGUGUCUCCAGCCUGGACCCUGCCCACAGGGGGCAUUGUGACAUAUCUCUUGGCCCAUCAGAUGUUUGAUUGUUAUCCCCUCCCCUCUUCUACCCUGUGUUUGCCUAUAAAAGACACAGUCAUAUGUUCCUGGGCCCAGCACCUAGGUGUUGUCUUACUGGAAUGUGUCCACAUGGGGAUUGUGAUAUGUCACGUGGCCCAGUACUUAACUUGAUGUGACUCUCCUCUCAUGCCUAGGCCUUGUAGAGAAUCCCCUUCCCCUUUUGUUUUCCUUUUUUUCUUUGCAGAUCCAGGAGAUAAUCAACUAAGAGCCAGGCACCCGUUUAGGUCUAAUAAACAUUUUACAAACUGCU
rnacentral:lncRNA from 1 species